UGGCUCAGAACGAACGCUGGUGGCGUGUCUUAUACAUGCAAGUCGAGCGAGGCAGCAAUGCCGAGCGGCGAACGGGUGAGUAACGCGUAAGCAAUCUGCCCCAUAUCAGGAAAUACCCGUGCCAACGCGCGGUUAAUGUCCAGGAGAGUGGCCCCCUGCAUGGGGGGUUGACUAGAGAUUUAUCGGUAUGGGAUGAGCUUGCGUCCGAUUAGCUAGUUGGCGGGGCAACGGCCCACCAAGGCGACGAUCGGUAGCCGGCCUGAGAGGGUGAUCGGCCACAUUGGGACUGAGAUACGGCCCAGACUCCUACGGGAGGCAGCAGUAGGGAAUAUUGCACAAUGGGGGAAACCCUGAUGCAGCAACGCCACGUGUGGGAAGAAGCAUUUCGGUGUGUAAACCACUGUCAUGAGGGAAUAAGGCCCGCCUUCGGACGGGAUUGAAUGUACCUUGAGAGGAAGCACCGGCAAACUUCGUGCCAGCCGCUGC
rnacentral:rRNA from 1 species